rnacentral:rRNA from 1 species
UACGUAGGGGGCAAGCGUUGUCCGGAAUCAUUGGGCGUAAAGCGCGUGUAGGCGGUUCGGUAAGUCUGCUGUGAAAGUCCAGGGCUCAACCCUGGGAUGCCGGUGGAUACUGUCGGGCUAGAGUGCGGAAGAGGCGAGUGGAAUUCCCGGUGUAGCGGUGAAAUGCGCAGAUAUCAGGAGGAACACCGGUGGCGAAGGCGGAUCUCUGGGCCUUACCUGACGCUCAGGUGCGAAAGCUAGGGGAGCGAACAGG